rnacentral:lncRNA from 1 species
GCCUCGUCCUCCCGCGGCCAGAGGUGCGACCUCUGAGCCCCUGGCCAGCUCCCAGCCGGCCUAGGGGGGCGGGGGCACGGGGCGGAGGUCCCGCAGCCCGUGCUCGUCCCGCCUCGCUUGGAGGGAGCAAGGGCUCCGAGCCCUGGGCCCAGGUCCUGUGCCUCCGCUUCCCCGGCUGCGGGUACACCCCCAGCUUCCCGAGCCCCCCGGGCCCUCGCUGCUCCACCCAGAAGUUGCGGUGACUGCGGCCCCAGCACCCCGUUCCCUGGCCGGGCAUCACUUGCGCAGCAUGCUGCCCCCAGAGGACAGGGCUACAGUUAGUCGCCCACACCUCAUUCACCCCCUUGGGCCCUUGAGCGUCUUAGAAGCCGCAGAUGCCAAGGAGGGGACGCUGCCUCGCGGAUGGUCACUUGGGAGCAAAGCUGGGGACUAAAGGAACCAGGGACAGAGAUUCCUGCUCUCGCCAAAUUGGCCGCUCUGGGCCAGGCACUGAGGACACACCGCGAAGCCGGAUAGCCAGGUCCUGUCCUCAGGGCCCUGUCCGGAAGAGGACUGGGCAGCCUCGAGUCCGCGGCAAUGAAUGAAUGUUCAAUUGCACAGAUGGGGAGGCGAAGGAGGGAGGGAGGGAGGGAGGGCAGUCGCUUGGGCGGUCAUUGGAGGCUCUGGGAGGCUAUGCGCCGGCAAGAAGCAGCGGGGUGGAGGCAGCCCUGCGGGAGUCGGCGAGGGCCGCGUGGAUGUGCUCGGUGGUUUUGAGGCCAGUGGCUGGAGGGGCGUGAGAGUGGGAGACCAGACUUGAGGGGAGUGGCUGGAGUUGAGACUCAAAUCCAAGAAGGAAACGGUGGGGCUUGGACCACUUGCCUACUGAGAAAAAUGGAAGUCGGGAAGGCUUUAGAUCUAGUCGCGCUUGGUCACUUCCGUCUCCGGGCCUCAGCUUCCCAGGUUGUAGAAAGCAUCAGGGUUGGAGGCUCUGAAAUUCUGGCUCCUCUCAAGCCAAGAUUAGUAUGACUUCAUUUUGGUUGUGCAAGAAAUGGGCCUGCAGCGGUUCGCAGAGGCAGAGGGACCUAAGCUUGAAGGGCAAUCAAACCGGCGUAGGCAGGAACGUCGGGAGCCCAGACCCCAGGCAGGGAGUUUAAGGUCUUGGACACAGAGGGUGCGCUCCUCGAAGCAGCCACAAAGCGGUGACAGAGACCAGGCUUACGUUUUGUUUUGAAAUAAUUUCAAAGUAACAGAAAAGCCGUGAGAAUAGUUCCGAGAACUGCCUCCCUUAUUAAUGCAGAUUCACCAAGCUUUAACAUUCUGCUCCCCAGCCCUUGCAU